rnacentral:rRNA from 1 species
AACGUAGGAGACAAACGUUAUCCGGAGUUACUGGGCGUAAAGGGCGUGUAGGUGGUUGCGUAAGUCUGGCGUGAAAUUUUUCGGCUUAACCGGGAAAGGUCGUCGGAUACUGCGUAGCUAGAGGACGGUAGAGGCGUGUGGAAUUCCGGGUGUAGUGGUGAAAUGCGUAGAGAUCCGGAGGAACACCGGUGGCGAAGGCGGCCUUCUGGACAGUGACUGACGCUGAGACGCGAAAGCGUGGGGAGCAAACAGG